rnacentral:rRNA from 1 species
CAUGGUUGUCGUCAGCUCGUGUCGUGAGAUGUUGGGUUAAGUCCCGCAACGAGCGCAACCCUCGACCUUAGUUGCCAGCAUUCAGUUGGGCACUCUAAGGUGACUGCCGGCUAAAAGUACGGAGGAAGGUGGGGAUGACGUCAAAUCAUCAUGCCCCUUAUGACCUGGGCUACACACGUGCUACAAUGGGCGGUACAAAGGGUCGCGAACCCGCGAGGGGGAGCCAAUCCCAAAAAGCCGCUCUCAGUUCGGAUUGCAGGCUGCAACUCGCCUGCAUGAAGCCGGAAUCGCUAGUAAUCGCGGAUCAGCAUGCCGCGGUGAAUACAUUCCCGGGCCUU